rnacentral:lncRNA from 1 species
UCUCCCUCUCCCAUAGUUCUAACAGUAGAUUGACAACCGAACCCAAACCCGAGCCUAUCGAAUGGCAUCAUGGCCGGGCUUAAAGUUCAGCCGCCAACUUUUCAGAGCCAAUAGGUACCCAGCAAGGGACCAAGGCCCCUUGUCAAGCACUGUUAGGAUUUGACGCCUCGAGAUUCAGCCCACAUUGAGCCCACAGCGAGGUUCGCGGCGAAAAAUGGAGUCCAACGAGACCAAGAUCACCUGAAUCGGAGCUCGGAUGGAGAAGAUACGAGCUUUCGAAGAUAGCACGAAAACCGAGGCGGCGGAGGACCGCCGGCGACCGGCGGCGGG